UACAGAGGGUGCAAGCGUUGUUCGGAAUUAUUGGGCGUAAAGGGCGUGUAGGCGGCCAAUUAAGUCUUCUGUGAAAUCUACGGGCUCAGCCUGUAACGUGCAGAGGAAACUGGUAGGCUUGAGUGUCGGAGAGGAUAGUGGAAUUCCUGGUGUAGAGGUGAAAUUCGUAGAGAUCGGGAGGAACACCAGUGGCGAAGGCGACUAUCUGGCUGAUAACUGACGCUGAUGCACGAAAGCUAGGGGAGCAAACAGG
rnacentral:rRNA from 1 species